rnacentral:lncRNA from 1 species
CCACAACUCUGCUUCCUUGGCAGAGGCAGUGCUGUAGGCUGGCUGCUGAAUGACUAACCAGUUAUAUCAUUAACAUGCUCUGCUACAACUGCAGGAUUGCCCCGAAGAAAAACCAAAAUAAUUGGGUCCUUUGCAGUUAAACUUCAAGUCUGAAGAUCUAACCAGAGGAUUGAGCAGCUGGCAGGCUUGAAGAUGAAUAUCUGAAGCUCUGCAAGACAGAUUAAAGCACAGGCACCAGCAGUGCACGCAAAGAAUCUAUUCCCAGGACCAUGAAAGGAUGCCAAGCCAUUCUGCUUUCAAUUACAUCACCCAGGUGGGAAUUCCCCUGCUUCUAUUGUCAAGGUUGAGAGGUGAAGUGGAAACGGAACAGCGGCGUGAGAGGAAGUUGGGCAAAGAAUCAUCAGCAAGAGAGAGACAAAACACAACAGAAGUUAACUGGCAUACAGGCACUGGAGCUGCAGGUGGCAUUUCUGGGAAUCUUUUUGGCACACAGGUGAGUUUUCAGGUAGGUGAAGGCUGGACAUGUGGGGAAAGACAGUGGAGCUCCAAUGCCAGAGCAAGAAGCAAACAGGGAGCCCUGGGAAGAGGCAACCUAAUCUCUGCCACCAAUCCUCCUCUGCAAGGGGCAUCCAGGGUGCUCUGGGCGGCUGAGCAGGAGUGUAGGGUGGGGAGGGAUUUCUGGCUGCCGGCAAAAGC